rnacentral:rRNA from 1 species
GACGAACGCUGGCGGCGUGCUUAACACAUGCAAGUCGAACGGAAAGGCCCUGCUUUUGUGGGGUGCUCGAGUGGCGAACGGGUGAGUAACACGUGAGUAACCUGCCCUUGUCUUUGGGAUAACUUCAGGAAACUGGGGCUAAUACCGGAUAGGAGCUCCUGCUGCAUGGUGGGGGUUGGAAAGUUUCGGCGGUUGGGGAUGGACUCGCGGCUUAUCAGCUUGUUGGUGGGGUAGUGGCUUACCAAGGCUUUGACGGGUAGCCCGCGUGAGAGGGUGAUCGGCCACACUGGAACUGAGACACGGUCCAGACUCCUACGGGAGGGAGCAGUAGGGAAUGUGAGGCAAUGGGCGAAAGCCUGACACAGCGAGCCCGCGUGAGUGACGAAGGCGUUCGGAUCGUAAAGACGUCUUUUUGGGGAAGAACAGAUGUCGCCUGAAACGAAGCGUGCUUGACGGUAACGAAUCAAGAAGCACCGGCUAACUACGUG